GCAGAUAUAGCAAGUUGAAGAUCCUGAUAUGAGGAGAUCAUCCUGGAUUAUCUGAGCAGUUCCAAAUUCCAAUGAUAAGCAUUAUUAUAUUGUGAGGCAGAGGGAGAUUUGACCCAUGAACCCAUACAGAGGAGACCAUGUGAUGACUGAGGUAAAGAUAAAAGUGACAUGGCCACAAGCCAGGGAACACUGACAGCCAUCAGAAUCGGGAAGAUGCAAAGAACAGAACUUUCCUGGAGCCUCUGGACUAGAAAAUUAUAAAUCAAGCACUCCUGCUGAUUGAUGUCUUGAUCUCAGGUGGUCCUGCUGAAACCCUGAUCUUAGAAUUUUGGCCUCCAGAACUAAUACAUUCAUACCUUUGUGGUAAUAGGGUAGGGUGCCCUGUGAUGAUAGCCAAGGUGCCAAGGUUGGGAAGCCCUGCUGCAGAGGAAACAGCACAGCACACUGUAAUCUCCAAGAAACAUGGUCCAAAUGCAUAAUGCCAUGAACUGACAAUAAUCAAGCAAUGAAUAAUAUUCAUCAUGGUCUUUUGGCUGCCAAAAUCAAUCAAUCAAUGUGUAAACUUUCUUACCUAAUAUUUGCUCUGAAUGACUGCUUCUCAUUGAAAAUUCCUGUCCUACCAACAUUCCGAUUCCACAACCAGAACCCACAGUUAAUUGAGCUCAUAAUACUGGU
rnacentral:lncRNA from 1 species